UACGUAGGGGGCAAGCGUUGUCCGGAUUUAUUGGGCGUAAAGAGCGUGUAGGCGGCCAUGUAGGUCCGUUGUGAAAACUCGAGGCUCAACCUCGAGACGCCGAUGGAAACCAUGUGGCUAGAGUCCGGAAGAGGAGAGUGGAAUUCCUGGUGUAGCGGUGAAAUGCGCAGAUAUCAGGAAGAACACCAAUGGCGAAGGCAGCUCUCUGGGACGGUACUGACGCUGAGACGCGAAAGCGUGGGGAGCAAACAGG
rnacentral:rRNA from 1 species